CACAAUAAAUAUGAAGGCUGUACGCGGCUGUGCUCUCGGGCCAGUUUUGCGGAGGCUGAAUUAUUUAUUACCCUUGUCUUUUGCGCACUUGUUGUUUCCUGGGCGGGUUCGCCCGCCACCAGGACCACAUCAUAAACCUUUUUUAUGCAGUUGCAAUCAGCGUCAGUAUAACAAAUGUAAAUCAUUUA
rnacentral:misc_RNA from 1 species